rnacentral:rRNA from 1 species
UACGAAGGGGGCUAGCGUUGCUCGGAAUCACUGGGCGUAAAGGGUGCGUAGGCGGGUCUUUAAGUCAGGGGUGAAAUCCUGGAGCUCAACUCCAGAAUUGCCUUCGAUACUGGCGAUCUCGAGUUCGGGAGAGGUGAGUGGAACUGCGAGUGUAGAGGUGAAAUUCGUAGAUAUUCGCAAGAACACCAGUGGCGAAGGCGGCUCACUGGCCCGAUACUGACGCUGAGGUGCGAAAGCGUGGGGAGCAAACAGG